AGAUUAGGGGUUUGACAUUUUAGGGGGAGAUAUUACUGAGAAUUAUUUCUUUGAAGACAAGAGGUAAAAAUAGCUGAAGAGCUGGUAGUGAUGAUUCGCAUUGGACAAUGUGGAGGAGCUAAACAUGGACCUGGUGGAGCAUGAAUUUUUCCAAGAUGACAUCCACGUUGGUGGGAUAUUUAUCAAAUGUGCUUUAGUAUCAUUUCAAUUAAUUUAUAUACAUCUUAUUUGCCUUGAUCUUUUGUGAAACUUUCGUUCUUUGAGAAUUAUGUUA
rnacentral:lncRNA from 1 species